AGUGAACGCUGGCGGUAGGCCUAACACAUGCAAGUCGAACGGCAGCACAGUAAGAGCUUGCUCUUACGGGUGGCGAGUGGCGGACGGGUGAGGAAUACAUCGGAAUCUACUUUUUCGUGGGGGAUAACGUAGGGAAACUUACGAUACUACCGCAUAUGACCUACGGGUGAAAGCAGGGGAUCUUCGGACCUUUCGCGAUUGAAUGAGCCGAUGUCGGAUUAGCUAGUUGGCUGGGUAAAGGCCCACCAAGGCGACGAUCCGUAGCUGGUCUGAGAGGAUGAUCAGCCACACUGGAACUGAGACACGGUCCAGACUCCUACGGGAGGCAGCAGUGGGGAAUAUUGGGCAAUGGGCGCAAGCCUGAUCCAGCCAUACCGCGUGGGUGAAGAAGGCCUUCGGGUUGUAAAGCCCUUUUGUUGGGAAAGAAAAGCAGCAGGUUAAUACCACGCUGUUCUGACGGUACCCAAUGAAUAAGCACCGGCUAACUACGUG
rnacentral:rRNA from 1 species